rnacentral:misc_RNA from 1 species
UUAAGUUCAGCGGGUAUUCCUACCUGAUCCGAGGUCAACCUUGUGUAAAAGAUGGGGCUUUCACGGCCGGAACCCGCGACACCUCCCUAGCGAGAUAUGUUACUACUACGCUCGGAGUUAUAGCGAGCCCGCCACUAGUUUCAGGGCCUACGGCAGCCGUAGGACCCCAACACCAAGCAGGGCUUGAGGGUUGAAAUGAC